CUAAGUGAAUGUGAUUUGUUAUAAAUAGAGCAGUCUCAAGUACCCUCCUCCACCAUCAAGAGAAUUGAGAGAGCAAUUGGUGUGGCUGUGGCGAGGAGAUCAUAUAUCUCACAUAAAUAAGAGUAUGGUUUUGGGUCGCAUGCUUGCGUGGAACCAUCAAAACUUUGCAUUUGAAAAGGGGUGAUGGUGCCACGCUGUGUGCGCCUAAAAUGCAUAUUCUUCUACUAUAUUUGAUGAAAUGUUGGAAAAUGUGCAAAGCUUAGCACUAAGGUUAAAUCUUCACUUUGAAAUGAUGUGAUGCCUCUCUGUUUUCUAUGGACUUCCAUUUCAUGUCUUCUUGUUAAUUUCCCCUCCUUGUCCCCCGGAUUUCAUAAUUUCUGUCCAUUAUUUUAUUGUAUCUAUUUAGAUUUCUUGUUCUUGUGUUAGCAGGUAGGGUAGUAGCUGACUGAUAAGCUCCCAGUACAGAAUUAACAACCCUGGGCUUUUUGAUGUUUUGACAAGAAAAAAAAGAUUACAAAUUAGAGUAGAGAUAUCAGUUGGUUUGUUUGCAGGACAGUAAAGGUCUCUACUGUCUAGCUGAAGAUCAAGUGACCACUUCCUUAAGAAAAUGCUGGUUUGAAAACAAUUAGCCAUCCACCCCCACGAUGGACUGCGCUUUCGCUGAGAUUAACUUUGAAAUUAAUGAUGAAUUUAAUAUCAAAAUGUGUGGUUGAAUUCAAAACUAAUUAUGAGGUUGGGGUUAAAAUGGAAAAAUGAUCUUUAAAUAUAAUGUAUAUAUAAACUAAAAAUUAUUAAUGAUUUGAUAUUUAACACUGUCGUUUAAUUAAUAAAAUAAUAAUGUGUAUCAUAAUAUUUGUCUUUAUUUUUAUUAUUUUUUAAAAUAAUGUUUACAUUAAUUUAAGUGUAAUAUGUAUUUUUAUAAUAUUUAACGUAUAAAACUUUAAAAUUCAUAUAAAUACUUUAAUGAUUUAUUUAAUAAUUAUUUUAAAUUAUUUAUUAUAUUAAAUGAUAAAUUUUAUUUAAUUGAGAAUUAUUUCAAACAAAUGAGAAUAAUUGUAAGUUUAUUGAUAUCAGUCUUUUGGAAUAGAAAUAAAUAAAAGGUGAGUAUUUGAUAUAUUGACGGUGUAUUUUUAUUUUACAACAGUUUUAAAAAAUUGUAAUGUAUCUUUUUUAAUAUUUUAUCAUACUUCAACCCUCGACAUACAUGUAGAAUUUAAAAAUUUCACUAUCAAUAUAUUAAAUAUUUCCCCAAAAUGAUAUAUUUGUUAAAGGAGGGUCCAAUUAAUAUUUAGUGAGAAUUCGAGACAUCAAUUGGCAAAGUACAUUGAUCUCAUGUUAUCGAAACACAAGUUUGCAUUGCAACAGAAAUUUUCAAGAGCUAAUAAUGGAAUUUAAAUGCGCAUCCAAAAGGACACUAAGAGAAAAUGGUAAUCCCCUUUUCACCUUUGUUAUAGACAACAAUAAAAAACAAUAGUUGGGUUGGGACAAAUUUGGUUUCUUGACCUAUUCUCUUUGCUUAGCGUACGUGGAAGAAUGGAAUUCUUUUUUGUCUUUUAAGGAUUAAUAUGGAGUCUUAUAGAAAUUAUUAAGAUAUCAGUAAAUUGGAUGAAAUAGUAUAAUUCAAUGUAUAUGUAGGAUCUGCCUAGUUAGUGCAAUUUAGAUUUUGAGCGCCUCUUGAGAGGGACUUUGGAAUGAUAAAUAGUUGAAAUUUGGUUGUGUUUAUUUAGCCUAGUUGGUUUUUUACAAAAAAAAAAAAAAAAUCGAAAUUAUAUAAGGCUUAACUUAUAAAUUGGUAUUUAAAUUAUCCUAUUUUCUUAUUCUAAUAUAUAAAUUUUUGUUUUCAUUAGAAAUGGUAUCUAAAUUAAUUUUUUUAGUUGAUACCUCCCUCGGUUAAAUUUUAGUCAACCAUGAUCAAUAAUAAUGCGACUCAAUCACAUAGCGACACAUGACAUAAAAAGCCACAUAAGCAUUGUCGAAACCACUUAUUUGAAAAAUUAAAAUUUUUGUUAUCGACUUAUUAAAAAUGAAAAUGGGGAGUCAUCUUUUAUUAAGGUGUGAUCGGUUCACCAUUAAAAAUAAAUUUUAGGUCUGCGAGAUUUAAGACAAUAGGUCCGGGAGUCGGUUACACACGAGGAAGGGUUAGCACCCUCGUAACGCCCAAAAUUGGUACCGAAUCGAUUGUUUAAUGUCUUAUUGUCGAAACUUGAAAAGAUUUUAGAAUACAAUCCUUUGAAAUACAAUUCUUUGAAAAGAAAAUUUUAAUAAUCGAAUUGGAAAAUAAGACUUACCCACUUUAAAGAAAUAAAUCGUCACACUCAGUGAGUUAGAACGCAACAAUUCAAUUUUCGAAGUUAGAUUCGUCCUUUUUUAAAAAAAAUUUUAAAAAAAAUCAUACAUUUUGAGAAUGAUAUUUGGUUAUUUAGAUCAAUCGAGAAAUCAAAACCCAGUAAGUUAGGGUUCAAUUUUCUUAAAAUUCCUAAACACUAAAUAUUACCUUUAUUUUAAAAACGAGAUAACAAAAUGUCAUAUCCAGUAAGUUAGGAUCCAACAUUUUGAAAUCUAAAGAAUUUUAUUUUAAAAAUAUACGUCUUAAAAAGAAAUGGAUACUUGAUGAUAUAAAUUCAUCGAGAAGAAUUGAAGCCCAGUAAGUUAGGGCACAAUUCUCUCGAGAAUUAUUUAACACCAAGCCCUUUUUUGAAUUUUGAAAUGAAACGAUUAUAAUAUCUUAAUGAAAUGAAAUUCUUACAAACAACAUGAUUGAUUAACAAUAUACAAAGCAAAUGAUG
rnacentral:lncRNA from 1 species